UGCUCCUGUGAUCCAGCUACCUGGAGACCGGAGUCGGUGAACGGUGUGAGGGCAGGAGUCCUGCUUUCAGGUGUUCUAUGUUGAGCGGGGCGUCCGCACUAAGAUCGGUAUCAAUAUGGGCACACCGAGGGAGCUCAGUGUGACCAGGUUGUCUAAGGAGGGACGUACAGGCCAAGGGGGAAACGCAGCAGGCAAAAGUCCCGUGUCGAUCAGUAGUGGGAUCGCGCCUGUGAAUCGGUAUCUGUC
rnacentral:SRP_RNA from 1 species